GGGGAUGUGGCUCAGUCGGUAGAGUAUUUGUCUAUAAAGCACAAAACCUUGGUUAGAGUCCAGCACCA
rnacentral:tRNA from 1 species